rnacentral:rRNA from 1 species
GAUGAACGCUGGCGGCGUGCUUAACACAUGCAAGUCGAACGAGAAGUGAAGACGGAAACCUUCGGGCGGAAGGCUUUAUUUCGAGUGGCGGACGGGUGAGUAACGCGUGGGUAACCUGCCUCAUACAGGGGGAUAACAGUUGGAAACGACUGUUAAUACCGCAUAAGACCACAGCACCGCAUGGUGCGGGGGUAAAAACUCCGGUGGUAUGAGAUGGACCCGCGUUCGAUUAGCCAGUUGGCGGGGUAACGGCCCACCAAAGCGACGAUCGAUAGCCGAGAAGAGAGGAAGGGCGGACACAUUGGGGCGGAGAAACGGCCCAGAAUACUAGGGGAGGGAGCAGAGGGGAAUAUUGCACAAUGGGGGAAACCCUGAUGCAGCGAGGCCGCGUGAGUGAAGAAGUAUGUGGGUAUGUAAAGCUCGAUCAGCAGGGAAGAAAAUGACGGUACCUGAGGAAGAAGCCCCGGCUAACUACGUG